AAUAGCUAGCUUUUACUACCUCAGACUAGAUUAGUAUUCCUCAGGCUAGGAUCAGGAGACUGGAAAGGAAUUAAGGAAGUUGGAGACUGAUGUGUCUCCUUGAGAAACUGACCAGUUUCCUUACCCCUCUCCACUCUGGGCUAAUUCUCUUUGGUUAGAGGACACACUAAAAACUCCAGACAGAAUUGAAGAAUCUAAGAUCAGAAAGGACCUGCGUGUUGCUUCCUGGGUGAACCUUGAAGAAGUGGCAAAAACUCAAAGUUCUUUAGCAUGAAAUAUGGAAUGGAAACUGUAGAGUAGAGAUGGUUGCAUUCACUGACCAGGUAAAUGUUUCACACAAUAGAAGCUUCCAAAAUUUUUCCAAGAGGGACAUGGAAGUAACCAAGAGAGACUCAGAUCUGAAAAGGCCUUGAAAUGAGGAUAAAAAUACUGCCUCGCUAAUCUGCAUGGACUAAUGAUUGGAGAACAAUCAGGAAAAAGCAUUUCAGCAGAUGCUAGAACAGACAGAAAAUGAUGCCCCACUACCCCAGCAUUAAGUAUGUCCCCUGAAACACAAAUUUAACUCCAAGAAUUUGUAAGGUAGUGGAAAUGGAACAUGGAAAAUCUGAACUAACCGACAUUAGCCUGAACUGAAUAAGAUUACAUUCCUGCUAUCCAGAAGCAUGAACACUUGAAACAAAAAUUAAGUUCACUUACAAAAAAACUUUGUUUUGAUUUUAAUUUUUAUACCUAAGGUUGUAAUAAACACCCACAAGAUCUAUUUCAAAAUUAACUUGAUAGAUGCAUAAAGAAUUGAAAAUUGCCCUGUCUACUUUUAAACUUUCUACAAAAUGUAAAAAUUUUUCCAUUUGAUGCUUUUAGCUUUUAAUUCAGCCUUUUCUGUUACUAAUAUUCUUUUUGUAAGCAUUUAGCAGAUGUGUAUAUAUAUAUAUUUUAAUAUUUAGUGUUUUUCUUCUUUUUUUUAAACUUUUUACUUUGUAUUAGGGUAUAGCCAAUUAACAAUGUUGCAAUAGUUCAGGUGAACAGGGAAGGGACUCAGCCAUAUAUAUACAUGUAUCCAUUCUCCCCCAAACUCCCCUCCCAUCCAGGNNNNNNNNNNNNNNNNNNNNNNNNNNNNNNNNGUAUACAGUAGGUCCUUGUUGGUUAUCCACUUUAAAUAUAGCAGUGUGAAUAUGACCAUCACAAACCCUGUAACUGGCCCUUCCCCACCACUACCAUGGCAACCUUAAGUUCAUUUUCCAAGUCUAUGAGUCUCUUUAUCAGAUAUAUUUUUAUUCUUUAUCGAUAAUUUUAAAUCUUCUUGUGUUAUUUUAUUUUUGGUGUGUCUUUGAAACAACAUAUAUUGCUGGAUUCUUUUAAAACUAUACUUGCAGUUUUCUGCCUUUUAAUAAUUUAUUAUGAUUAGUGAUGUGUUGAAUCUUUUCCAGUCAUGUUCUUCUAUGUUCUCCAUUUACUAUGAUUCUUCUUGGGUCUUGUUUUUCUAUUUCCUGCUUUUUGUUUCUUGAUCAAGUUUUCUUUGUUCACUUUUUUUCCUCUAAUGGUUUUUUAAAAGUUAUCUGCUAGCUCUCUUU
ensembl:lncRNA